UACGAAGGGGGCUAGCGUUGUUCGGAUUUACUGGGCGUAAAGCGCACGUAGGCGGAUCGAUCAGUCAGGGGUGAAAUCCCAGAGCUCAACUCUGGAACUGCCUUUGAUACUGUCGAUCUGGAGUAUGGAAGAGGUGAGUGGAAUUCCGAGUGUAGAGGUGAAAUUCGUAGAUAUUCGGAGGAACACCAGUGGCGAAGGCGGCUCACUGGACCGGUUCUGACGCUGAUGCGCGAAAGCGUGGGGAGCAAACGGG
rnacentral:rRNA from 1 species